rnacentral:lncRNA from 1 species
GAAGGAAAGAAAAUGUACACGUGCUCUGUCAUAGGCCCCAGUGUUGGGUGCUUUCCUCUUUCCUCUUACCAAACACUCACCGCUGCCUUCCAGGGAGGUGCCUCCUGACUGUUUUUCAGGGUCUUCUGGCUGCUCUCUGAGGAGAUGGAAUGCAGAUGGCUCCAAUGAACUCAGCCCCAUGGGAUGACACCGUGCCAGGAUGCAGGAUGCAUGGUGACAAAUUUCAGAAUGUAAGCUCCAGGAGGGCAAGGACUUCAUCUUGUUCACUUGAAGCUGAAGCCCCAGCAUGUACAAUCCCGUGCUGAGUUGCUGGUUCAUCCCCAGCAUGUACAAUCCCGUGCUGAGUUGCUGGUUCAUCCCCAACAUGUACAAUUCCGUGCUGGGUCGCUGGUUCACCAGCAGAGAGGAGCAUUGAUUCUCUUUGGAAAAGAUAAUCUAUCUACACCCCUGGAACUGUGGCACAGUCUCACGGAGGGCCUGCUUCCAUUCGGGUCAACGGCGAAAAAACGAAUAAACGUGAGCCGCCAUCAGGUGAGGACAUGGAAGCACAGGGAGGUUAUGCCACUCGCCCAAAGACAACUAAUCAGUGACAGCUGAGACUUGGACUGCAGAACCUACACUUUAUAACUAUUUUACAGUUCUGGGCGUCACGGAAUCUUGCAUGAAGAGCCCCUAACCUGGCCCGGGUGGAGGUCAGGGAGGUCUUCCUGGAAGAGGGGGUUCUUGGCAGCAACUUGCUGGAUUUGGUGUUCCCUGUUGGUUGGUCAGUCGCUAGACAGUUAUUCACUGAGCUCUGAGAACAGGCUGGGCCCUGCUCCAGGCCUUGGUUGGACAGCAGGGAACAAGGCUGGGGGAAAUGACUCCCGAGAAAAUGGACAUGUGUGACCCUGGGUUCUGGGAAGGCAGGGAGGGAAGACAAGUACCAGAGGCACAGCGAGGGUCUCUCUGGAGCCACAGGGAGAGGGGAGGGAUGCACAGGCCUGGUGUGCUGCAGGGCCUGAGCCUGUGGCUGCUUCUGGCCAGGAAAGAAGCCAACGUUACUUAAAGAAGUUAUUCAUGUAACCAAAUACCACCUGUUCCCCAAAACCCUAUGGAAAUAAAAAAUUAAAAAAAAUAAAAAAGAGUAAGCAAC